AAAGGGAAAACUAUUUUUUUUAUAAAACACAUCACACGCAUCAUUGUAAUAUGUAUAAUACGUUAGUAUGCUUUCCGCAUGUGUCGUCUCGACCUCGAAAAAAAAUAAGAAAAUUAGCAAACUGUUGAUUUAAUUGGAUGUUGCUCUAUAGCUGUUAAUCAAUUAAUUAAAUUUGUGUCUCACACAUGGAAAAAAUAACGAUUAGACUGCAG